rnacentral:rRNA from 1 species
UACGUAGGGGGCAAGCGUUGUCCGGAAUCAUUGGGCGUAAAGCGCGUGUAGGCGGCCUUGUAAGUCCGUUCUGAAAGCCCGGGGCUCAACCCCGGGAGGCGGAUGGAUACUGCAAGGCUCGAGUACGGAAGAGGCGAGUGGAAUUCCCGGUGUAGCAGUGAAAUGCGUAGAUAUGUAAGGAAGACCAGUGGCGAAGGCGAAAUCUCUGGACAGUUACUG